GCCCAUGGUCACCCAACUAGGAAGUGUCUGAGGUCAGCUUUGAACCCAGGACAUCCUAUCUCUAAACCUUCCUCUUAAUAUAUUGAGUCAUACAGCUAGCUGCCUUCUGAGGAUAUUCUUUAUGGCCAGUUGGAAAUAGGAGCGGGAUGCUCUCAGCCUACAAACCUACCUCCAUAUUGAGGGUUCAAUGCAAUUAGUACGAUGCCAUCUGCAACAUUUGCAGCCUUUGAAGAACCUUACCAAAGUCUGUUUAGACUUAGUGGAAAUUAUCAUCCAUAAUACCAGACAAAGCCCCAGAGUCUGAAGAGCAAUGCUAGAACCAGUUGCUAUGCAGAAAGAAGUCAGCAAGUCUCCCUCAGGGUAAAAGGUAAUAAACUAGUUUGGGAGAUAACA
rnacentral:lncRNA from 1 species